GUCGAAUGAAUCCCGUAGCAAUACGGGGGAAAUGGCGAAAGGGGCAGUAAUGCGUGGGUAACCUACCUUGGGGAUGGGCAUAGCCGGACUAACGUCCGGGUAAUUCCCAGCGAUUCGGCGGGCUGGCAUCAGUCUGCCGGGAAAUGAAUUUCGCCUCGAGAGGGGCCCACGUGAUAUUAGAUAGUUGGCGGUGUAACGGACCACCAAGUCUAAGAUGUCUAGCGGGUGUGAGAGCACGACCCGCGCCACUGGCACUGUGACACUGGCCAGACACCUACGGGUGGCUGCAGUCGAGGAUCUUCGUCAAUGGGCGAAAGCCUGAACGAGCGAUGCCGCGUGCGCGAUGAAGGCCUUCGGGUUGUAAAGCGCGAAAGAGGGAAUAAAGGGAAACUUGAUUGAACCUCAGUAAGCUCGGGCUAAGUUCGUGCCAGCAGCCGCGGUAAGACGAACCGAGCGAACGUUGUUCGGAAUCACUGGGCAUAAAGGGCGCGUAGGCGGGUGUGUAAGUCUGUGGUGAAAUACUCUAGCUCAACUAGAGAACUGCCUCGGAUACUGCGCAUCUCGAGUAAGGUAGGGGCACGUGGAACGGCUGGUGGAGCGGUGAAAUGCGUUGAUAUCAGUCGGAACUCCGGUGGCGAAGGCGAUGUGCUGGACCUUUACUGACGCUGAGGCGCGAAAGCCAGGGGAGCAAACGGGAUUAGAUACCCCGGUAGUCCUGGCCCUAAACGAUGAGAACUAGAUAGUAGACUUACAUGGGUUUACUGUCGAAGCAAAUGUGCUAAGUUCUCCGCCUGGGGAGUAUGGCCGCAAGGCUGAAACUCAAAGGAAUUGACGGGGGCUCACACAAGCGGUGGAGCAUGUGGCUUAAUUCGAGGCUACGCGAAGAACCCUUAUCCUGGACUUGACAUGUGCGAAAGCGAUAGGAAGUAGUGUGCGGAAACGUGCACGAACGGUAUCCAAUCCGGAACCUAUCACA
rnacentral:rRNA from 1 species